UCUCUACUCUAUGAUGAUUGAAAUUAGACUUAAAUACAAAGUCUAGUGAAUUCAAAGUUCCAAAAAGGAAAUGUGAUAUAAAGUAAUGGCUGAAGCAAUUGUUCAAGAUUGGUUGUCAGAGUAUGAAUCAAUUGAAGAUGACGAAGAGAUGCGUGUUUUCGCGAAUAUGCAUGAGAUGAACCCCGAGGUAGUAGAUGCGAUCUACACGAUUUUAAAUGAGCGAAUUAAAUAUCCUGAUUUGGUACAUUCGGUCUGCAAUCAAUUUCACAGCUUUUAUCGGUCAAGUGAAGAAAAACUAAGACGAUUCGCUUUACAAUUUAUUCCAGUGUUGAUAUAUAUUUAUCUUAAUUCUGUAGCAAUGGGUGAUAAAAAAAAUUGCCGUAGUGUUGAAACUUUAUUAAUUAGUAUAUAUAAUAUUGAAGUAAGUACAGAUGAUGGGCAACCGAAAAUUGUUUCGUUUCGUAUGCCUGUUCUUGCUCAGGCAUCUAUAUAUCACGAGGAAAAAAGUACCUUACAUGCAACCGAUUUGCGAAGAUGGGAAGAAAAUAUUAACCGUGAUGUAAAAUGGGGUCCACUACCUCAAAUUGAGUUAAUAAAUGCUCAAAAUCGAAUGAAAAUUAUGACAGCACUAUUAUUUUGUUAUAAUCAACAAUUGAGUUUGAUACAAAAAGCAGCUUUGUUGCAUUUAUGUAGAGUUGCAUCCCAAAUAGUUAAUCAAGGUUUUGCUAAAUCUGGUCAUGUUUAUCGUACAUCAUAUGGCAGCGAUCCAUCAAAUGUCACUUCACCGUCAGCACUAUCACCGAAAGCAUCACCUAGAAUCGCAUUAUCGUCACCAUUUUUGAUUGAAUUAGUGCAUUCAAUAUAUUUUGCAAUGUUUAAUGAUUUCGGUACAAUUGCUAUACAAACACUUGAAGAUAUUCAUCAUAGAGCAUGUUACGAAAUGUUUGCUGAUUCUAUUUUAGUUACAAACGCAGUAAGACAUUCAUUACAUGCAAAUCCGUCAGGUCAACCUAAUGACGGGCCAAUGGGAUUAAGUGUAGCUCUAACACCAGCUACUACAACCGUUGUUGUUUCGAAAUCGAUGAUUACAAAUGCUUCAUUUAGGACAAAGAAACUUCCGGAUGAUAUUCCUAUACAAAUUGAGCAACAAAAUGCUAGUGGUUCCGUUCCAUUAACAAGCAUAUCUGAAGAGGAUGGUGGUGAUAAGAAUCAAAUUGGUACACGAAAUAUUGGUAUACGAUCAAGUAAAGAAGGUGGUGUUGGCGGUAUUAAGGCUCAAGCUCAAAAAGCAUUGAUUGCUGGAUUUAAAAAAGUUAAAGAUAAAGAUAAGGAUAAAGAAAAAGAUAAAGACAAAGAUAAGGAAAAAGAUAAAGAUAGCAAUGUUAAAAUAUCUUCAUCAGUUAUGAAAAAUGGUAGUAUAGAUAUAUCUGCUGGAGGUAGUAGUAAUGUUGUUACAAUUGUUGGCAGUAAUACUAAUGUUAAUGUUGGUAGUAAUAUUGCUACUAGUGGUGCUGUUACUAUUGUCGGUAUCAAUGAAACUACUACAACAAAAGUACCACCAAAAGUACCUGCUAGACGUGAUAAACGUACAUCAAUUCAAGUGAAUGAUACACAAGAUCAUCAAAUAAAAUCAUUAUCAUCACCACAAAUUACUGCAGCAAUAAAACAUAAUCAAAUAUUAAAUGAUACUACAACAACAACUUCAUCAACAGAUAUAAUUAAAACAUCAAAAGCAAAUAUUAAUUUAACAAAUAAAAAUACAGAUAUGAUACCAAUGCAAAUUUUAUCAAAUGGUAAAACAAAUUUUGUCGUCAAUGAUACUAAAAUAGAUGGAUCAAUUGUUGUAAAUAAUUAUGAUUCAAUUGAUUCCAAUUAUUGUGAUGCAUCGGAUUCAGUUAUUUCAAGUAAUGAGGUUUCUUUAACAAUGCCACCACAAAUAAUUAGACCAUCAAUAACAGCAAUUAUUAAUGCAAAUAUAAUGGAUUUACAACAUCACGAACAGCAACAACAACAGCAACAACAACAAUCUUUACAAAAACCUCGUAUACAAAGUGAAGUAUAAAAUAAAAUAAAAAACAAAGUAUUAUUUAACAUUAUUUAACAAAAAAAAAAGAUUCAGAAGAUGUUUAUGACGAUAAUUUGAGAAAAAUAUAAUUUAUAAAUGUAAAUAUGUUGCGCAGUGCAAUAAUUAAUUUAUAAUUCAAUUAAGGUUGUAGUUACUAAUAAAUUUUGUAAAAAAAAAAAAAUAAAAAAAUUUAUGGAACACUAGGUGUAUUUAAAAUAAAAUACCCUUGUAUUUAUUUUUUUUUUUGUUAAAAUAAAAUUAAAAAAUCUUCAUUUAAAAAUUGUUGAACAUUUUUGUUUUUAUUUUUAAUAUUGCAUUUUAGUAUUUUUCUUGCAUCAGGUUUUUUUUUGUAUUUUAAUUAAAUUAAAUUUUCAAAAAAUUAUUUAAAACAAAUUAUAUAUAUAUAAAUUUAUAAAAAUAUGUUUAUAAACAUAUUUACUGUAAUGUGCUAAUAAUGUAUUACACAGAUUCAUUGUUGGGUAAAAUUAAUUUUAAAUUGCAAAUAAAUUAUAAAUAUAUUAUAAAUAAAAGAAAAAAGAAAAAUAAAUAAAGAAUUUGUUGUCGAAUUUAGGCCCUUAUUAUGAUCGGUGAAGCGAAUGAAAUUUUUGGCGAAUAUGAAAUUUUGGUAUUAUGAUUAGCGAAUUCGCCUAAAUUUUGGCGAAUGAGCUGUCAAAUCUGUCGAAUGAAAAUUCUGUGUGACAAACUUGACGAAUGAAAAAUCAAAUUAAUGCAUAAGUGUUUUUUUUUUUUUAUUGGACAUUAUAGCAUUUAUGGUGAUAUAAUGGAAAAAUCUAAACUAUCUGUAAAGUAAAUUCAUGAAAUUCUACAAAUUAUUAUAAAAAAUAUUGAUUGUUUAAUAUUAAUUUAAGCGUGAAAAAAAACGAACCAAAAACAAUUCGAGCAUUUAAAUAAAUUAAUGGACAAUAACCCCGCAAUUGAAGAAGGAUAGAAAAAUUCAAUUGUUUUUGUAAAAAAGCAAAAAAAAUGUUCAUACAUAUGUGAUGUUAACCUUCUUAUUUUCGGUAUGUUUACUGUACGUCUUGCGGUAGCAAAAUUUUGGAUCUGAUGAAUGAAAACAUUCGUCGAUCAUAAUUUAAAAUCGUCAUUCGAUUCGCCUAGUCCAUUCGACUCGCCUAGCCAUUAGUUUCGCCGAUCAUAAUAAGGGUAUUAAUUUAAAAAGCAUGUACGCAUUAAUUGUAAUCUUUAUCAAAUUUAAAAUAUAUAUUUUGUUAAGAAAAAAAGCAGAAAAAUCUUAAAAAAAAAAAGAACUGGAAAGAAAAAAAAACUAGACCAUAGCGAAUUUAUAUCAGAUUAUAUUCUAAUUUUAUCGAGAGUCAUUAUGCAAAAAUUAAUUUCGAGAAUAUUAUUUCAAUUGCAAAAUUCUAAGAAGAAAAUAAAAAAUUUAUCUUACUUUUAAUUUCAUACAAAAUUAAAAUUCAUAUUCAAGCGUUAAAAUACAAUCUUCAUAUAAAAAAAGACUAUGAUUUUGUUUUUAUUAAGAAAUUUAUCAUUUUUAGGUUAAAUUAAUUAAGAAUCAAGAAAUACAUAAUAUUUAUUCUUACAAUUAACAAUUUUUCUUAAUUUAAUUCACUAACUUCUAUCUGAUUCAAUAUCUGAUUAAUAUUAAAUUUUCAUAUUAAAUCGAUUCUUAUUUAAAUAGUUUAGAAAAAAGAUAAAAAGGAUAGGGAAUGCAAAUAAUUUGAAUUUAUUUUUGAUUUUUUUUUGAAAUUAUAUGGCACUUGUUAUUAAAACUUCUGUAAUAUAUAUUUUUUGAUUUUUUUUUAAAACUAAUAAUAUUAAUUGUUGUAUAAAACAUAUCCUAGUUUAUAUUGAAUUUUUUGUUAAAUUUUAAAAACUGUAAACAAAAUACCAUUUUCCUUUUGCUUUGUAAAAAUUCUAAAUGUAUUCUGCCAUAAAAUAUUGUUAUUAUUAAAAAUAUAUUAUAUUGAUCAGAUUUAUCUUGAUUUCAAGUUUCAAUUAAUUGAAAAUAUUAAUUAAUUAAUUAUUAUUUUAUAAUUUCUAAUAUUUUCGAGUUCAUUAAUUUUUAAAAAAUUUAAUUUUCAUUGAAUUAAUAAUCAUUCACUUUAAAAUCAAUUUAUUAUGUAUAUUAUUAUUAUAAUUAAAUGGAAUAUAUUUAUAAAUGUAUUAAAGGGAAAAAGAAAUAGAUUUGUAAAAAAUUUGUAAAUUAUAAAUAUUUAAAAUAAAGCCAAAGUAAAAAUAUUAAAACUACAUAAAAUAAAUAUAUUUUUGUGAUGUUGAUUUAAAGUAGAUAAAUAAUAUGUUUGUAUUAUAAAAGAGUUGUUGUAAAAAACCAGUUAAUAUUGUAAAUGUUUCAAAUAAAAUUAAAAAAAAAAACAAAAAAAAAAAAAUAAUUUCAACACAUAAAUUUUAUGAAAUAUGUAAUAGAAACGUCAACAAAAUAUUAUUUAAGAUUAGAAAAAUGAACAUCGAUAUUUUUUCAUAUUUAAUUUUUCAAAAUUUUAACAAACAAACAGUUUCAAUUUUAUUCUUUAUAUUAAUUUAUAAAAUUUAAUUACAUACUUACAUAAAAAAAAUUAUUAUAAUAAAUUAUAAAGAGAAUUUUCACACUGAUUAGGUAGCAUUAAAAAAAUUUCCUUCUUUUAUAAGUAUUUAAUUUAAAAAAAUUUCUCUUUCAAAUUAUAUUUAAAAAAUAAUUGUACUAUAUUAAAAAAGAAAAAAAAAAUUAAUCUUUUCAAAAUAAUUGCAAUAUUUUCUUGUUAUGAUUCUAAUUAUACAACAUUUAUGUAUUUCUUAAAUAUAUAAUAUUAUAUUAUACAUGUAUAAAGAGAAAAAAAAUAAUUCUCAAAUUCAAUAAUU